GCAUGGUUCACAAGGAAUGUAGACUGCAGUGUGGAUUUUCUUCCCUCUUUAUUAUUGUGUGUUUCUCACUGAAAAGGUUAUAAGCAUGUACAAUUUAUCCGGCAGUCAUAUACGCACACAAGAACAAAUGCCACAGCGCAGAAGACCAUGACCAGAAUAUAACUUGCAAACUGGAAAAGAAAAGAAAUGAGUUGUGUACCUCAACUGGCACGUCACGUCUCAUUCCCUGUGGAUCUUCUGUGUGAAGGUUUUCCUCAGCCCGCAGUUCAGUCUCUACUUGUGGAUCUUGUGCGCUACGGUGUGGCCCGGUCUGCAUGUCACGUCUCGUUC